rnacentral:rRNA from 2 species
UACCAGCACCCCGAGUGGUCGGGACGAUUAUUGGGCCUAAAGCAUCCGUAGCCGGUCCUGCAAGUCCUCCGUUAAAUCCACCCGCUCAACGGUUGGGCCGCGGGGGAUACUACAGGGCUAGGAGGCGGGAGAGGCAAGCGGUACUCGAUGGGUAGGGGUAAAAUCCACUGAUCCAUUGAAGACCACCAGUGGCGAAGGCGGCUUGCCAGAACGCGCUCGACGGUGAGGGAUGAAAGCUGGGGGAGCAAACCGGAUUAGAAACCCUAGUAGUCC